rnacentral:rRNA from 1 species
GAUGAACGCUAGCGGGAGGCCUAACACAUGCAAGCCGAGCGGUAGAGUUUCUUCGGAAACUUGAGAGCGGCGCACGGGUGCGUAACACGUGUGCAACCUACCUUUAUCUGGGGGAUAGCCUUUCGAAAGGAAGAUUAAUACCCCAUAAUAUAAUGAUUGGCAUCAAUUAUUAUUGAAAACUCCGGUGGAUAGAGAUGGGCACGCGCAAGAUUAGAUAGUUGGUGAGGUAACGGCUCACCAAGUCAAUGAUCUUUAGGGGUCCUGAGAGGGAGAUCCCCCACACUGGUACUGAGACACAGACCAGACUCCUACGGGAGGCAGCAGUGAGGAAUAUUGGACAAUGGGUGAGAGCCUGAUCCAGCCAUCCCGCGUGAAGGAUGACGGUCCUAUGGAUUGUAAACUUCUUUUGUACAGGGAUAAACCUACCCUCGUGAGGGUAGCUGAAGGUACUGAACGAAUAAGCACCGGCUAACUCCGUG